UAGAUGAAGAUCUUCUUGCAAGGACAUUGAAUGGCCUUGCCACAUAGUUGGACUAAAGAAGUUGCCAGAUAGAUGGGGUGACUGGAAAAUACAAUAAAACUAACUUCAUCUGCCUAAAAUUUAUACAUGAUUCGGAUUAUAUCAAAGCGGCGCACGGUUACAGAAUUAUGAAGUAACGGAUAAUUACCUCCAGCGCAUGGAAACGAAGAAAAUGACAAUUACAUCAUUUAACUAAUGUGCUUAAAAUCGUCUUACGGCAGAGCAUUUACUAACGCAAAUACAAGAAACCGUGUCAAAUUCGAAAUUUACUCUAAAUUGCAAACAGAAGGUAUAUCGAAUGAAUUCCAGUGCAAGUGUUCGAAGAUGUUCCAGGAAGAAACAAGAACAAAAUAUAUUAAGUUUGGCUACGGAAUGAGACGGAAAGAGGUAACCGAAAAAUUGAUAGUGUAAUACCGCCACGAGCGCUCAAAGCUUAUGGGCGAGCAAGUCCCUAUGCUCCGAGCAUUUACAAAAACAGAGCAUAGAGGCGUUGAGCAUCCCUGAUUUAAGGUUACCCAUUUACCCAUAAAACUGUUAAUUACGAUAGGUUAAGAUCAGAAGGCACUGAACAGAUUCCGGUGAAAAAUUCGGUCCUUCGAUAGAUGACUUAAAAAAUCUCGCAUCGAAUUUGAAAAGGUUAUAGACGUAUAAUUCCCAAUCACUCAAAAACAAAACUUAACAAAUACAAUGGUAAAAAGCUAACAAUAUGACAUACACUGAUCCUGAUAAGCAGGUUUUUUUUAACCGGCAACCACAAUAUGCAGUCUCACUUACAAAUAGGCUAAUUAAAUCACACUUGAUCAAAUUAGAGAUAGUGAAAAGUUGACAGGGAACACGGAACCGGUACAUAAAUACAUAUGUACAAACAUAUAUACAAGUAAGAUCAAAAUAAAUAUGAAUGUGGAUACCGUUUAGAUGGUUCAUUAACGUAGCCUUAGGUUUAUAACCAUAUCUAUUUUAUAUCUAAUCAUAUUUCAACUUUUUAAGGAUUAUAUUUUGCUUAAAAGCUUAUAAUAACAGCAAUCAAUUGUCAAGGUUUUUUAGUAUUUGCUAUAUAAAUACUUUUUAUUGAUAAUUAAAACGUUUAUCCAAGUUUUAUAUUUCCUAUGUUAUAAAUUUGUUGUUUAUUUGUUUUCAUAUUAGCAUAAAUAUUAUA